CCUACGGGCGGCUGCAGUAGGGAAUAUUGCACAAUGGGGGAAACCCUGAUGCAGCAACGCCGCGUGGAGGAGGAAGGUUUUCGGAUUGUAAACUCCUUUUGUUAGAGAAGAAAAUGACGGUAUCUAACGAAUAAGCACCGGCUAACUCCGUGCCAGCAGCCGCGGUAAUACGGAGGGUGCAAGCGUUACUCGGAGUCACUGGGCGUAAAGAGCGCGUAGGCGGGAUAGCAAGUCAGAUGUGAAAUCCUAGGGCUUAACCAUAGAACUGCAUUUGAAACUGUGAUUCUAGAGUACGGGAGAGGUAGGUGGAAUUCUUGGUGUAGGGGUAAAAUCCGUAGAGAGCAAGAGGAAUA
rnacentral:rRNA from 1 species